UUGAUCAUCUUCAUCCUCAACCUUCACUAAUUUAUCUUCAAAAGAAACAUCUACAACAUCAUCCUCUUCUUUACACACCAUCAUCCCGGGUCUUCCAUAUGGCAAGAAUCCUCAUCCAAUCCUGUACCUAACAAGCUUUCAACAUCAGCAGCAAACUCAGCAAGUUCAGCAUCAGAAGCAAUCAACUCAGGAAUGUCCAAAUCCUGAUCAUCAUUUAACAAAACAUUUAGUUCAUUAGAAGUCAGAAUCUCAUCAUGAGUUCCUUUAUCAGCUUGUAUGUUCUGCACUUCAUCACUCAGUUCAGAGCACAAUUCAGCAGCAAAAGGAUCGAAUACCGGGACUCGACAAAAAAGAUGCUGCUCUUCACUCUCAUCGGGAGAAGUUUCAUCACCACUAAUCUCCGGUACUAAAGGAAGAGGAUUCGCCUUCGCCAUCUUUUCCUCAUCUUU
rnacentral:lncRNA from 1 species